GACGAACGCUGGCGGCGUGCUUAACACAUGCCAGUCGAACGGAAAGGCCCUGCUUUUGUGGGGUGCUCGAGUGGCGAACGGGUGAGUAACACGUGAGUAACCUGCCCUUGACUUUGGGAUAACUUCAGGAAACUGGGGCUAAUACCGGAUAGGAGCUCCUGCUGCAUGGUGGGGGUUGGAAAGUUUCGGCGGUUGGGGAUGGACUCGCGGCUUAUCAGCUUGUUGGUGGGGUAGUGGCUUACCAAGGCUUUGACGGGUAGCCGGCCUGAGAGGGUGACCGGCCACAGGGGGCGGAGGAUCGGGCAGAAGCGCUGAGGGGAGGAAGCAGGGGGGAGCAUGGAGCAGGGGGGGGAGGACGGUGGGAGGCAGCGCGGGUGCGGGCUGGGGGCGGUGGGGUGGUAAUACGCGUUCGCGGGUGAGGAAGGGUGGGGGAUUGUAAGGAGUAAAGAAGCACGGGCCAACUACGGACCAGGAGCGGGGAAAAACAACGAAUAGCCCAGGUAUGAAC
rnacentral:rRNA from 1 species